rnacentral:rRNA from 1 species
UUUCCCUUCGAUAGUAACAGAGUAGAGUUAUGCAAAUUUUUUAGUCGGCGGCAACUCACGGACAUUUAGCUGGUGCUUGUAGAGUGCCGGGGCAGUAAUCCACUAACGAAUAUUUAGUAUUUUUAAUUUCCAACUAUAAUCUGAAGCUGAACCAUAAUGAUCAGGUAUAUUCAGUGGUCACAUCAUCGGUGUCUUUCCCAUCUUUAUUUUCCCGGACGACAAGCCAAGCAAGCCCAACAAAUUCCAAACCCCCACGCAAGAAAUUCCAAAUUGCCACCCGCAAAUCCUCGCUUUCCCUUCCGAGCACGAUUCAUCCAUCCCAUCGCAAGGAACAAGGGAGUAAGAGCUGCUGCUUCUUCCGUGGUCCCGGUUCAAGGGAGUCAAGCAAGCACAAGAUCCUCUCGGUGAGCUUAUUGCCCCUCGGAUCCUUUUGCUUUUUCGUUGGCUUUAGCACCCUAAUUCUAGAAAAUCCGAGAAAUUUGGUGGGGAGUAGUGAUGCUUGUGGAUCGGCGGAGAUGAAUCCGUCUGAAUUCAGGAACCUGAUUCGACAGAAGAAGGGCUAACCUCCUUUUGGUCUCGUCUCAAGUUGACUGUGGAGUGUGAAGUCGUUCUUGCUGAUGGAGAAGCUGAGCUGAGCUUGGAUUCUUUAGCUGUUUAGCACCGGGAGAGCUUUGUUUGUGUAACUACACGAAGAAAAAGAAGAAGAUUCUUUACCUGCUAUUUCUAGAUGUUGAUCUGAUUCGAUUGCCACACAUGCGAUUCUCUUUGCUACAAUUGGAGAACCACGGCUCGCAGGGUUUGUACUUUGGUAGAUUGCAGCACUGGAAGUGUUAAUUGAGAAAGAUAUAAAAAAAUUAGCUAGUUAGGGGUCGAUAUUGAUACAACCUAAUUGAUGCAAUGCAAGUUGUCGAUUUGGAUAUCUCUUAUCUGGUUGUAUUAAUACUUCAGGCUUGGAUUGCAUAGUGGAGCAAAGUACUAGUAGAAUGCUACAGGAGUACCAGGGCUGGUGUAGUAUAUAUCCUAAUGCAGUUCCUUCUUUACCAGAAUGCAACCAUUGUGAGAGCUGCUGCGUCUUCUGCAAUUGCUACUGGAUACCCUUAUUUUUUACAGUUUCAAGUUUGAAUUGUAUAUAUGUGUAGUUUGUUUCUGUGUUGUUGCUAAAAUCCACAAUCUGUAACUGCGGUGUCGCUCACUUCUUGAAGGGCAUCUGGCAUCAAUGCAUGUGUCUCAGAUAUGUGACUGUUAACCAUUUGAUCACUUUUCACUCCCUGCUUCAUUUGAUUCUUAUAAAAUAGAUCACGGCUGCGAAGGAUUUGAUACACAUAAAUAGUGAAUGAUUAUUUGCAAAUACUAAUGUCAUGUUUAGGCGAUAGAUGCUUAUAACUUUCGAACCCUUCCCUGGACCCUGCGCAAGCGGGAGCUACAUGCACCAGGUUGCCCCCUAUUCCUCCGCGAACUAAGAUUAGCAUUACUUGUAGAUGGCUUGUUCUGAUGGUGAGGCUGAGCACCAAUGGAUACAGAGUGUCAAGUCAGGAGGAGCAGUUCCUUGUCUACCGCCCGAAAACUGUCCUAAUGGUUGGGCUACUCCUCCUGGUGACACUUUUAUGGUCAGAGGCCCAGAAUAUUUUGCAACCAAGGCAAAAAUACCUGGUGGGGAGUAUCUUCUGAAGCCUCUUGGAGUUGAUUGGAUCAAAGGCCCAGUAAAAAUCUGUGAGGUCCUGAAAAACAGGAACCAUCGUGUGAGGAAAGCCAUCGAUGAGGAGGUUUCUCACGGCAAUAAACCUUUUGUCUGGGCCUUCAACUUGCAACUGCCCAGCAAGGAGAACUACAGCGCGAUAUUUUACUUUGUCUCACUGGAACCUGCACCCGAGGGCUCGCUGAUGGAUCAAUUCCUUAAAGGGGACGAUGCUCUCCGUAAAUCCAGGCUUAAACUGAUAGCAAACAUAGUUAAGGGGCCCUGGAUUGUCCGAAAAGCUGUGGGUGAACAAGCCAUCUGCAUACUUGGCAGAGCACUUUCGUGCAAGUAUGUCGAGGGAUCAAACUUCAUCGAAGUUGAUGUGGAUAUUGGGUCUUCCAUAGUUGCAAAUGCAAUUGUUCAUCUGGCAUUUGGUUACGUGGCGACACUGACUAUAGAUUUAGCAUUUGUUAUUGAGAGUCAAGCUGAAUCAGAGCUCCCCGAGAGACUUCUUGGAGCUGUAAGGUUCUCUGAGUUGAGUCCGGGAUCAGCUGGUGUGUACGAAGUGCCAUCUGAAGAGCAGCAGGAAAUUGCUCCAAUUCUGCCUUCAAGAUUAUGGCGGAGUUUUACCCAACUGCUACAGAACCCAGGCAACUCAAUGCAGCCGUCGCCUAGCUCAGAAAACACUAAUGGAAACUUUCACAAGGAAGAUGCUGGUAACAACGAUAAUUGAUAUCCCGGAAUCCCAUACUAGACAUGUAUAAAGCUUCCAUCCAAAGGACGCCUUCAUUGGUUGAGGAUAAUAUGCUAGUUCAGGCGAUGUGUAAAAGUUGAAUUCGUUUCUACGACGAUGAACAACGGCCUCAGGUAGUUGUGGAUUAUCAUAGUCCUGGGCCCUGCUGUAAAAAUGAUACAUACUGGUCAAGAGAAAAACAUCUUUCUGUACAUAUUAACUAAAUUUACCUUUUAGCCCGACAAAUUGAGAUGUUGUAUUGCAUUCUCUUUCUGGCUGUGACACUGGUAAAAACUUUUUUUUUUGAAAC